UACAGAGGUGGCAAGCGUUGUUCGGAAUUACUGGGCGUAAAGGGCGCGUAGGCGGCCUUCUAAGUCAGACGUGAAAUCCCCCGGCUUAACCUGGGAACUGCGUCUGAUACUGGGAGGCUUGAGUAUGGGAGAGGGAUGUAGAAUUCCAGGUGUAGCGGUGAAAUGCGUAGAUAUCUGGAGGAAUACCGGUGGCGAAGGCGGCGACCUGGUCCAUUACUGACGCUGAGGCGCGACAGCGUGGGGAGCAAACAGG
rnacentral:rRNA from 1 species